rnacentral:rRNA from 1 species
GAUGAACGCUGGCGGCGUGCUUAACACAUGCAAGUCGGACGGAAAGGCCCAAGCUUGCUUGGGUACUCGAGUGGCGAACGGGUGAGUAACACGUGGGUGAUCUGCCCUGCACUUCGGGAUAAGCCUGGGAAACUGGGUCUAAUACCGGAUAGGACCACUUCUUGGAUGUUGUGGUGGAAAGUUUUUUCGGUGUGGGAUGAGCUCGCGGCCUAUCAGCUUGUUGGUGGGGUAAUGGCCUACCAAGGCGUCGACGGGUAGCCGGCCUGAGAGGGUGUACGGCCACAUUGGGACUGAGAUACGGCCCAGACUCCUACGGGAGGCAGCAGUGGGGAAUAUUGCACAAUGGGCGCAAGCCUGAUGCAGCGACGCCGCGUGGGGGAUGACGGCCUUCGGGUUGUAAACUCCUUUCGCUAGGGACGAAGCGUUUUGUGACGGUACCUGGAGAAGAAGCACCGGCUAACUACGUG